CAGGAGUUGUAUUCUUACAUCAUCCUUAACUGUGUUCUUUCAUCAGGGGCACAAAGAAUCAAGGACCAAGGAAGCGAGGGAAGCGCCUCCCUGUACCACCAGUGCUUUACAAAAUACCAACAAGCGGAACGUAGCUCAGUAAGGAAAUGAAAACACUUACAUGCCGACUCAGGCAUAGGCACACCUUCGCCCAGGGGCACAAAGAAUCAAGGACCAAGGAAGCGAGGGAAGCGCCUCCCUGUACCACCAGUGCUUUACAAAAUACCAACAAGCGGAACAUAGCUCAGUAAGGAAAUGAAAACACUUACAUGCCGACUCAGGCAUAGGCACACCUUCGCCCAGGGGCACAAAGAAUCAAGGACCAAGGAAGCGAGGGAAGCGCCUCCCUGUACCACCAGUGCUUUACAAAAUACCAACAAGCAGAACGUAGCUCAGUACGGAAAUGAGAACACUUACAUGCCGACUCAGGCAUAGGCACACCUUCGCCCAGGAUGCUGAGGAAUCACAGAAUGUCUCUCCAGAGGGCUCAGGUUGGAGCAGCGUGGUGCUACUUCCUCAGGUAGGAUGGAGACCAGAGAGGGGUGCUCCAUCCGAACACCCCAAGAACCUCUGUGGGGAGAGGGAACAGUGCCCACUGAGCAGUGUUUCCACCCGUGACUGCAAGGAGACAAAAGGCCCCACUUCCCCCACGUUUUCCUGGAAGACAGAGACACAGGGACCUCCAUUGCCAGCUGUGCCCUUUGGGACAGGAUCCCUAGGUUCUGCAGUGUCAGUUACUCAUGGACAACAGGCAUGGGCAGAGAGCCCACCGAGAGCGGCACGAAGAUGAGACUGCCUGGAAGGCGACUGGCCAAUAAUGGACACUGCUCCUUCUGCCACGGGAGGAUUUUGUCUUGUUACACUUGGUGUGUUACUUUGGAAAAAAAAAAAUCUAUACUUUAAAACAAAACAAAAACAUUUAAACACGUAAUUGUCAACUUGACUGGCGUAAGAGACUCCUUUGGGGUGAUGAGAUUCUGGGGCGCUGAAUACCCGGCUGUGCCCACCGCAGAGGUGGCCCGCUGGGGUGCCUGUGGAGGUUGCUGGUGCUCUGCCCUGGGCCUUGCUUCCCAGCGGCCACAAAGGAGCAGCUUUCCUCCUCCACACCCUUCCACUGCCAUGAUCCUCCUUCCGUGGUGGCAGCCGACCAUGAACCCUGAGCCGUGAGACCAAUAAAUCACUCCCUU
rnacentral:lncRNA from 1 species